rnacentral:rRNA from 1 species
GCAAGUCGAACGAGAAAAUUCUUCGGAAUGAUUAGAGUGGCGAACGGGUGAGUAACGCGUAGAUAAUCUACCCUUAAGUCUGGGAUAACUCUUCGAAAGGGGUGCUAAUACCAGAUAAAACAAGUGUUCUAAUGGAUGUUUGUUGAAAGCUCCGGCGCUUGAGGAUGAGUUUGCGUCCCAUUAGCUAGUUGGUAAGGUAAUGGCUUACCAAGGCAUCGAUGGGUAGCGGGUUUGAGAGGAUGAUC